AUCCGCCAUGCAGCCCAGUGUGUGUAUCAAUACUUUUUAAACAUUUUGAGCGCAUGCAACAAUACUAUAAUAAUUAUGAUAACCAUGAUCAUACAUGAAUAAGAACACAAGACAAUGUAUAAUAUCAAACAUGAGUCAUAGAGAAGUGUCGGGGGGGUCAGCAGGUUUGUGGCCUUGUUCUCAUGGAGUCAGCCAUGCCUUCACUUACAUGCAAUGUGCACCUCUUAUUUAUUUUUUUUUUAAAGGUGUCAUGUUGGGCUUAAACAAUAAUGACCAGGCUAAACAUUGGCAGCCUCUCCAAUGAGUGAAGACGACGCUAUCAGACGCAGACUUCCUGUCCCUUCCUCCCGUCUCGGGUUGUUUUAUGGAGUGAUUAGUGGUGUGUCGCGGCCCUUGAGGUGAGGGGGAGUGAGGAGAUUUCUGAUUACCUGACAAGUCACGACAGGAGAGGCUACACUUAGCCCAUUAAAGAUUUUUUUUUCCCCAUUUCUCCGUCAUGACAUUUGAGAGCCGCUGAGAAAGCCGCACACCACCUCGCCAUUUCCCCCGUGCACGUGGCCUCCACUUAGGACUGAGGGAGGGGGGUUGGGGGGGGGGGGGUCUAGAGAGCGAGCGACGGCGACUGGGCCAUCAUGGCUGCACAAAUGGACUUCAUUCACCAAGGUGAACCGUACUACACUGAUAAAUGCACUUCCUUGAAUGUCAGCAAAUGUCACCCAAGAAGCCAUUUGCCGCCACUUUAAUAGCUUCUUCUCCACGCUGCCGCACACAGGAGGAGGAGGAGGAGGAGGAAGAGGAGGAGUCAGAAGGAAGCAACUGAGAUCCGCCGAUCCGAGCGAUGACAAUCAGUUAUCGUCUGGUAGUUUGUGCUGGAAAAAAGCGGGAAAGCUCAGAAGACGAGUCAGGAGGAUCAUCAGACGACCUGACCAACAAAGAUGAACCGGAACACCUUCAUCCUCCAGAUCAGCAGGCCUCCUGACGUCCAAGCGGACCCCCCCCCAAUUUGUAGAAACUGGAAUCCUCUGGAAUACUUUUCAUAGUACAUUGAUGAGUCUUUGAAGAAUUCACACAUCAGAGAGAGAUACAGAUGAUCAGCGUUGAAGAAAUGAGCAUGUGGAUCCACGUGCUGCCCCGUCUUGGUCUUCCCAGAAUUGACAUGUUAUGAGCCAGAAAAACCAAAGCGUCAAUUCUAGAGCAGAAAAUGACAAGGAACAGGUUCUUCAAGUUGAUGUAAGAGAUGAAACAAAGAAGAAAGAUGUUCUGUCUGCAUGAGUGCAUGGAUGUAUGAAGGUAUACAUAUAAGUGACAGAAUAGCAUAGCAUCGCUAACGGGGACACAUUGUCAAAUCUCAAAUAAAGAUGUUUUAUAACGUUUAUGAAUAAAUGAUGGCUGCUUUAGGUGGACUAUGGUGAUGUAAAUAAAGAUAGCGGUUGUGCGAAUCAAGUGAAAAACAUCAUAGGGUAUUUCAUAGGGUAUGAUAGGCAUGAUAGACUGAUGUCAAUUUUUUUUUAAUGCUACGCAAUCAACCCACAUUAUGUUCUUUAAUAAGCAGCGUGUGAGUUAUUAUGCCUUUUCAUGUCUACGUACUAUACUUAUAAUAUACUGGUAAUAUGAGUGUAAAAGUGACUAUAGGGGUGCUACUUCAUGUCAAGAGAGCUCUAAAAAAAUUUGUUAAUAUUGAAUCCUACUUCUUCCACUGUCGGGUAUGUAAUAAAUUAACCACGAUCAACGAGGGAUGACUGCAUAGUUUUGCGUAGGGGGUUUGAAUUAAGCUAUGGGUUCUAAACAUAACAAAUUAGCAUUAUAUUCCUCGUUAGUGAUGCAUUUUUACUCACAUUUUUGAGGAAUUCAAAAAUACUGUCUGGACAAACUACCAGGUUUUUAGGCAUCAUCCAAAAUGUCUCCCAGUGCGAACAAUUAAGAGAUUUAAUCAAACCAUUUAUUAAUUAAAAGGUGCGUCUUAACACUUGUGUUGCACGGUGCUCGAGUGGUUAGCACGUAGGCCACACAGUUGAUUCUCCGCUUUGGAGUUUGUGUGCUGAGUUUGCAUGUUAAUAUUCUGUAUUCAAAAUCUUUAAUUCGGUAGUAUUCUGAUUUAGCUUCAGCUUUUAUGUUCAUCUUUUUGUUUCAUUUUAAGUCACAUCAUGAGAGUUUUGGAUGAAAUAAUAAAAGUGGAGUUAUCAUUUGUAUUAAUGCAUUGGAUGUUGGGACGCGCAAGUGCUGAGACAAAGCAAGAGCUGUGGCAAUAUUGCAAGAACAACUGUAUCCGUUGUUGUGCUAAUCCUAAAUGAAAUAUGUAUUCAGUAAAAAAAAAAAAAGGAUUAGGGCAUCCAGUGUCAUGAAAGAAACCACUUACCAGCACCAAAGGUAAUUUGUAACCUUAGCAACCGCUUUUGGAAAUGGAGGAUUAGGAUUGGCCAGCACGCACACACACGCACACAAAUGCUGCUACUUCAAGUACACUAA